GAGAGAGGUCGGCGCGUAGUGAGGCGCAGCGACGGGGCUGAACCAAGGCUUAGAAAUGUCUCCCCGAUACCAAGUUGUGGUGGGUUUUGGGGGGUUUUUUGGGCCAGAAGUUGAAUUACGAUUUUUUUUCUCAUCUCUUCGUGCUCGACGACAUCUUGGUAUGGAGUUACAUACGUGGGCUACAAAUAGUAAAGAACUGAUGUGUACACUUCUGGAGGGAUAUGGGGAAUAAUUUGUUCAGAUAAAUCACUGACCAACCUCAAAAUACACAUUCAGAAAGAAGACUGAAGGGAAUGAGGAAAAGAUCCAGAUUGAAAGUGUGCUGUAAGACAAAUAAUUUGCCUUUGGUCUUUCGAUCUAACAGCUUCCCUGAGGAUCCGAGUCUGCAAGGUGCACAGCAGAUGAUUUUUUGUAAGAGCAAGUUAAAUGGGAAAGAGCUUAUACUGGUUGAUCCCAAAGUGGGUGUUUCAAAAUGAUGCAGAGAUAAACCCUGUAACCAAAAGUGUUUAACUGAUCCAGUUAGUCUGGGUAGCCCCAAAGGGGGGAGCAACAUCACACACAAACCAGGCUGCAGUUCUGAGGGAGCAGCAACUUCUGGUGAAAAAUUAGCUGGGGACUAUAAUCAGCAACAGGAGAAAAUUUGAAGGGAGUAACCCUCUUGAGCUGUCCCAGUUGAAAUCAUGGCUGCAUGUGUGAGGCCUAACAAGUAAAGGAGCAGUGGUGACAUAAAACAACACAGUAAGGAAUUCCCUACUGGAGAACUUCUCAUUUCUAGCAAGCAUGAAGUUGUCCCCAGACAAGUGCUGAAUUCAAGAAAAUCAAGACUUUACAAGAGUGCUGAGGAAACAGAAGCUGGCAUUAAUGAAAUAUUUACUUGGUGUAUAAUUCUUUCACCCCUGUGCAAGGUCUUGGAAGACAAAUACUCAUCUUAUGCCGUCUACUUGGAGUCCACCUUAGAAGUUCCUUGGAAAGUCUCAGACAGAGACUUUACAAUUAAUCAACAAGAUGCAAGGAUCACCAGGAGGCAAGAAUGCAAUACCAUCAACAUGACACAGAGAAUCCCAUUCUUCAGCAUUAAAAAACAAGGCAAUGACUGGAAAACAUCCUGCUUAGGAAAACAUUGCUAAUGCCACCUUAUGCUGUUGGGUUUGCUUUUUUGUUUCCUUUCCCUAUUGUUGUUGCUCAGGGUGCCUCCUUAAUCCUGACAUUCUGGUUUCUUUAUUCAAGCCUUUUAUUUCCUCUCCAGACUCUUUGAAAACACUUUUUUUCAGGUGAAAUAUUUCUCAUAUGAUAUUUUCUAACUAGAACUUCUGUGUGCUUAGCACAGGCUUUGUUUUGAACACAGAUCAAGAACCACCUAGCUGUUUUGUGUUUUAUAUGGUGGCUCAUUCCAAUUAACCUCAGUAUGGCUUUCAGCACUCUUACCUGUUCUACCUUUCAACACUGAGUACCACCUUGAUCCAAUCUUUUGACUUUUCUUCUGUGGAACAGAAAAAGUCUCUGUCUCUCUGUCUGCCUUUUCAAAGUAAAUUUCACUGACAUGGAAUAUUGUUUUAGAAUUAUAUCUGUAUUUUCUAGUACCCUUCUUCCAUCUUCAGCUUAUUCAUUUUCUUCCUGUGUUUUGAAGUCCACCAAAAGCCUUCAUUCAGCAGAGUAUGUGAACAGAAUGUUCGUUCAGAAAAAUGCUUAAUUAUGUUUUUCAGUGGUGUUUUUACAAAUUAGUAAGGAGCACGUGUAGUACUGCACUGGGACCAGUUACUGUCCUCCUGAGGGGCAAGAAUUAAGCACAGUCUUACUCAUGUAUCUCUGCAGUUCUCUCUCCCCUUCCUCUUAACAUUCACCCUCAGCUGAGGACAAUGUUCCAACCACUGAAUGACUUGAAGGCAAAAGCUGUGUCUGAAUAUGGUAGUUACCAUCAAGCCCCCUGUAAAAUGUCAUACUCUGGUUAUUGCUAGCAGUUUGGAACAGAUGGCCAGGUAGGAAGUGUAGCACUCAAUUAAAAUUCACUGUAGCAUCAUCCUAGUUUUCAUUAGAGUCAUAAGAGGUGCGGGAAAUUCUUCUUAAAAAAAACCUGUUCUUUUUACUUUCUGUGGGGCCGUAUAUAUUUACACUCUAUUGAGAAAGUAAUGGCUGCUGAUCUGGGUAAAAGGUGCUUUGAAAUAUUGUUCUAAUUUCAUCUGACAUAAAGCUGUCAGGGUUUUGGAGUGCAUAUGGAAGGUCAGACCCUGGGACUCCCAACUUUCACAUUAUCUAUGACUCUGAGAUACUCCUGUCUUGAGAAGAAAGUAUAUUGAUAUUUCUGUCCAGUUGAUACUGGAUUAAACUUUUAUGAGUAUCCUAUUCAUCUAAUGAAUUAGUAUGAGCUUUGCUAGUUUCGUACUGUCCCGCGCAGUCUGGGAGGGGCAGGGGUCUUGCGGAGCGAGAGGCGCAGGGUGUGUGCAGGUCCCUCCAUGCAGGCAGAGCUGUGACUGCGCACAGAUCCGGCAGAGGGAAGUGUUGUUCUAAAAUACCCGACCCUGCAGGGAGCCUUUAUUGGUCACUGCGAGCCACGUUAUUGCACCAGGAAAUCAAUGAUCUAGAGCGUAUGGAACAUGUGAUUUAUAAAUUCUCAGUAGAAGACAAAGAAGCUUUAGCAAAUUCCAGAAAGAGCAAGUGAGAUGAUAAUCAGGAUGUGCCAGGGAAUGAAAUUAAAUUAUAUUAAUAACUAUGAGUUUUACAUGGUUUUUAUUCUCUUUAGGAGAAUAAAUGGUAGUAUGGAGUUUUAGGAGUUAAAGAGUUGUGAUCUGCUUGUUCAUGCUUCACCUAACUAUGAAGCUGUAGCCUUUCAUAUCAAAAGACAGGAUCUUGAGAAUCAGAUAGUCAAAUGCAUUUGGUGAUCACAAGGCAAGUUGUCAUAGGGUGCUCUAUCACAGAACUGGCUCAGCUUCAGAUACUGCUGCCAGUGUGAUUGCCGAUCAACAUGCUGCUGCUUCUGCAACUCCAAGCACUGUUGGAGGGUUAAAAGACAAGUGUAAUAUCAUUUCUGUAAUAUUAAAGAGAAUUUUCAAUAGAAAAUAUUUCAAAGUGAAAUGUUGACUGUAUUACCCUUUUAAAUAUACAGCACUUUGCUAUAUAGCUUUCCCUUUCUUACUUCAUGAGAUUUCCCAAAACUGUACCAGUGAAGGGGUUGAAGCAGAUGCUCUGGAUACCAAAUAGUCACACUGAGCAUAACAUUUGAAAUCAUUAUUUUUAUGUGCAUAUUCAAAGUUGUGUUUGUGACAUCUAAAUACCAAGUUAAAAAAGAUCAGGGGAUGGCAUGAUGUGUGAAAGGAAGCUCAACUUUCACAGUAUUGUCAAGCUGUUGUUUUUCAGUAUCUUAAAAAUGGCUGUCACAAACAACUAGAGUGUUGGAGCUUGAAGAACGUUUUCCAGAUAAUGUUGCUUGGAAAAGACUGAAAGAAAUUCAUCCUGAAAUAAUUGUCACUAAGCUAACCUUAAAGAUGAACUUGAUCUGCUAAGUAUACAGUCAGGAGCUGCACUGCUAAAACAGUGCUGGUUUUGAGUAAGAGCUUAACAAAAUAUUUCAUUUGCUCAGAUACGAUUGCUCAGAGAUUGGUGCGGUGUGACUGCUGGGUUGAGUCCUCCCCUUGUGCUUCCCCAGGAGCUACUCAGUAUCAGAAUAAAGAAUUAAACCUAGAUAAUUGUGUUGCAAUCUUCUGCUCAAGCAAUUAUGAACUGUAUGAACAUCAACCUCUGUGUUCUGACUUAAUUCAAUACUUUGAUUUUUAGCACAAAUAGUUCUUGGUUUUAUAAUUUAGUCAAACAUUAAUUUGUCUUCCUAGCAUAUUGCUGACCAAAAGAAAAUGUGUCAGGUCCUGGAGACAGACUUUUCAUUUUUGAGUUAGUAGAAAGAAAGAUUAUGAGAUGUACUUUUAUUUAUUUUGCUCACGGACAGGGGAAAUAGUCCCAAGUAAAACAGAUUAAAUAAUUCCUCAGGGAAACCCUAAUAGAGCAGAAAAUUUGUCUUGAUGAUACAGCCAGCUAAGGAGGCGGCAGGUCACGAGACAAAAGGGAAUUCAUCUCCUGGGAAGAGGCUGGCCUGCUCUCUGCUGUUUACCAAACCUCACCAACGACUCUUGGAGCAGAAAUUGCAGACAAUGCCACAAUGUUGACAUCUUUGUGCUGUCAAUAGCUGCUUCUCUGAGGUUAGAUUACUAUCAACGUACAUCACCCUAAGUAGAAGCUAUCAGCCUAAAGCAAAUUUUCUGCUAGGCUACCACCAUGACUGCAAACUAGAAGAACAAAUGGUGUUUGUUUUUUUUUUUCAACACACGUUUGCAUUGGUAUUUCUACAUGUUUGGAUUAAAAAGUGAGGUUCCCUUUUGCUUUAAUUACUUUCACUUUUGGCUCCAGUGCAAUGCUUGUGCUUCCUCAAAAGUAUGAUAUAUUUUAAUGUCUCUUUUAAAUUGAAACUAAUACUAGUAGCUAAAUGUGUACUGAAUACACAUUUGAAAAUUGUGAAUACAAUUUGAAAAUUGUUAACUUUUGCAAAAUUUAGUGACUGUGCUGUUUAAAAUGAAGGUGGUUUUGUACAGCUGUGAAGAAAAGGAUUUUUGUGUUUUAUGGAGGAAAAGCAAUAUUUUGAAAAUAGUCCCUUUUCCUGCAAAAUUGGUGACUGGACAAAGAAUAAACAUUAC